GACCCGGCUCGGCCUCGCCCCCGCGACACGGCUCGGCCUCGCCCCCGCGGGAUUGCCGGGAGGAGGGUCGGAGCAGGAGAACAUUCGCCCACGCGCGUGGUAAACAGUUCCGGGCGCUGGAGGGAUCCCCGGGCUUGUUUUGGUGACUGCGCGCCCAAGGUGAAUAUAUAGGAAAUGACGAUCCAUUCCUGCGUGGAGGGCCAGCGCUCCAUCUUCACUAACACGAUAUAGUUGAAGAGCAUCAAGUAUCCGAUGUACGCCAGCUGUAAGGAAACACGAUACAGGGCUUUGGCUAAGGAGGCCUGGAGCCCUGCCUUUGGGCACAGCGGCCGCGUGGCAGCCCAGAGCAAGGUCAGCAGGCAGGACGCAGGAUUCACAACAAAAUGAACUUCAGGGCUUUAAACUAUUCAAAGAAUUAAAAAAAAAAGAGACUGUAAUAUUUGAAA